GUAGCCAGCACCAACAAACAGCUUGCUCCCACAAAUCACAAAUAGUUUUUGCUACACAUAUAUAUAGCCUUACAUCCCCUCAUCUUCUUUAAUUUCGUCUUCACUUCAAUCCUCCACCCUUGAAAACCCUAAAUCUCCAAAGGGUUUUUUGUUUUAUUUUUCUGUCAUGGCCAUGGCUAAAAGAAUUAGGGUUUUCCGGCAUAGGGUUUCUGCUCUCCGUUUUCACUUCUUUGAUCCAUUCUCCGGCACCGGUCACCGGCGAAGUUUGAGCCCUUCUCCAAGCUAAGAUUAUCACAACAAUCUUCCGUGCAAAGGGGAAUCAAGCGCUCCUGGUCCGACUGCUUACUAUCAUUAAUCUUUUUUCUUGAUAAUUAAUUAGUUUGGCUCAUGUGGUAAUAUGGGUUUGUAUUUCUUUUGAUAUCUUGUGUACUUAAUAAGUCAAACACUUAGAUUUGAUUUGUAAAUUGUAUUGUAUGUAGCAAUACUAGCCAUGUUGUUUUGUAGUAACACUAGAAAAUUACUGCAUAAAUUUUUUUAUUUAUGCAGUAAGAGACUAUAGUGUUUGAUUGAGUGUGUGUUUCUGAUUUUGAUUGUAAUAAUCAACCAGUACUAUGUGAUCGAGUUGGUACCCGAAUUUAUUAUUGGUGCUGGUAUGAGGUCUUAGGAUUGGAAAAGUGCUUUAAUUUUCUUAAAUUUUUUAGUAAGAGAUUUGUAUGUUGAAUGUCUAGUUUAAUUAAUUCAUUGUCUUUGUUUUUGCUACAAGUUAAAUUAAGCUAUUAA